AGGCAUUAGUAUAUGGUUGGGCCCUGACGCUACCACCAUUCUUCUCCGUCCCCCCUCCCCCAAGCUGGCGCCUACUAUCCAGCCCAAGGGGUGCAGCAGUUUCCCACUGGCGUGGCCCCCGCCCCAGUUUUGAUGAACCAGCCACCCCAGAUUGCUCCCAAGAGGGAGCGUAAGACGAUCCGAAUUCGAGAUCCAAACCAAGGAGGAAAGGAUAUCACGGAGGAGAUCAUGUCUGGGGCCCGCACUGCCUCCACACCCACCCCUCCCCAGACGGGAGGCGGUCUGGAGCCUCAAGCUAAUGGGGAGACGCCCCAGGUUGCUGUCAUUGUCCGGCCAGAUGACCGGUCACAGGGAGCAAUCAUUGCUGACCGGCCAGGGCUGCCUGGCCCAGAGCAUAGCCCUUCAGAAUCCCAGCCUUCGUCGCCUUCUCCGACCCCAUCACCAUCCCCAGUCUUGGAACCGGGGUCUGAGCCUAAUCUCGCAGUCCUCUCUAUUCCUGGGGACACUAUGACAACUAUACAAAUGUCUGUAGAAGAAUCAACCCCCAUCUCCCGUGAAACUGGGGAGCCAUAUCGCCUCUCUCCAGAACC
rnacentral:sRNA from 1 species